UCCGAUGAGGCUAUAAAUGCCAUGACUUCCUCUGUGAGAUUCCAUCAACCACCCUUCACUGCCUCUUACCUUCUUUCUCCUGCCACAAGAAAUUGGAUUGGGAGCGGCGGCGCCGGAGGAGGAGGCACCCCAACUCGACAUCGUCACUCAUAGCUCCUUCCCGGAGCUAGGUGAGUCUUCUGAUCACUCUAUUCUUUCCAUUUCAUAUUCCGAUCU
rnacentral:lncRNA from 1 species